GGCCCUAUCGUCUAACGGUCAGGACACGAGCUUCUCAAGCUCGGAAUCGGGGUUCGA
rnacentral:tRNA from 1 species